UUGAAAGGGAAACGAUUGAAGUCAGUCGUACCUAUGGGUAAUCAGCCUUUUGGGUGUGAUUUUGUGGAGNGUGAGGAGUUAAACGCCUUCAUGCCUGCAUAUUCGUGCACUUUGGGUGUACUUGCCCGUAUGGUUGGUUAACAUCAAUUUUGGUGGUCAUAAAAUGACUGGAGGAAUGUAGCUUCGAUCUCGUAUUGAAGUGUUAUAGCCCUCGGUAGAUGUGAUGAUCGAGAUUGAGGAUUGCAACGGAUNNCCUUUGGGGCUACCUGUCUGAUCUCUGAUCGUUGCUCUGGUGCNGAAAGCUUNCUUACGGNUAUCAAAGUCGAUGGUCAAUAGGUUAGAACGGGUUAAAUUCGUUAAGGAUGUUGACGUA
rnacentral:rRNA from 1 species